rnacentral:rRNA from 1 species
AUUGAACGCUGGCGGCAGGCUUAACACAUGCAAGUCGAACGAGGGGCGGACGGGUGAGUAAUGUCUGGGAAACUGCCUGAUGGAGGGGGAUAACUACUGGAAACGGUAGCUAAUACCGCAUACCAUCGGAUGUGCCCAUAUGGGAUUGGCUAGUAGGUGGGGUAAAGGCUCACCUAGGCGACGAUCCCUAGCUGGUCUGAGAGGAUGACCAGCCACACUGGAACGGAGACACGGUACAGACGCCUACGGGAGGCAGCAGUGGGGAAUAUUGCACAAUGGGCGCAAGCCUGAGGAAGACAUGCCGCGUGUAUGAAGAAGGCCUUCGGGUUGUAAAGUACUUUCAGCGAGGAGGCGUUACCCGCAGAAGAAGCACCGGCUAACUCCGUGCCAGCAGCCGCGGUAAUAC